rnacentral:rRNA from 1 species
GACGAACGCUGGCGGCGUGCCUAAUACAUGCAAGUAGAACGCUGAAGGAGGAGCUUGCUUCUCUGGAUGAGUUGCGAACGGGUGAGUAACGCGUAGGUAACCUGCCUGGUAGCGGGGGAUAACUAUUGGAAACGAUAGCUAAUACCGCAUAAGAGUAGAUGUUGCAUGACAUUUGCUUAAAAGGUGCAAUUGCAUCACUACCAGAUGGACCUGCGUUGUAUUAGCUAGUUGGUGGGGUAACGGCUCACCAAGGCGACGAUACAUAGCCGACCUGAGAGGGGGAUCGGCCACACUGGGACUGAGACACGGCCCAGACUCCUACGGGAGGCAGCAGUAGGGAAUCUUCGGCAAUGGACGGAAGUCUGACCGAGCAACGCCGCGUGAGUGAAGAAGGUUUUCGGAUCGUAAAGCUCUGUUGUAAUAGAAGAACGAGUGUGAGAGUGGAAAGUUCACACUGUGACGGUAUCUUACCAGAAAGGGACGGCUAACUACGUG